CAGGGGAAUUGUUGCUUACAUUCGAUGACUUGUCCAGACAUCCGCAACAUAGAGCCUUGGGCAAUAGGAUACCUUUCUUGGUGGUCUAUUCUUCUUUACACACUAAUGAAGGUAUACCUCGUCUGAGAUUUAGGUGACUAUAAGGAAAAGUAAUUUAGAUGCAGACGUCAGUUUCUGCUAGGUUUAUAGCAUUUAUGCUGUGCUAUUUCUCCCUUUAAAAUUAUCCUUUUCGCAGUGCUGAGCGAUCCUGUCAAACGCUUUGACUAUGACUUAACUGGGAUUUUUGAGAUCGAGAAGUAUUCCUUGAGGGAGUAUCUUGCCAGAUUCAAAGGAAUGAUACUGACCUGUAAUGGGCUUGGUAUUGGUCAUCCAUCAGACGGGGCAGAGCACUUGACCAAUAGUGGUAACAUUGCAGAUGAAUGAGGAUUUCUCUUCAGUUAAAAUGCAUGUGGUUGCAUGCCAUGAGAGGCUUCAGUUUGUAAGGCAGGCUUGAAUCCAUUACUGCAAAAGAUGUUGCACGAUGGAGGAAGAGCAAUAAGCUAAUGAUAUUCUGAGGUAUGUCCAAUUGAAAUCCGGUGAUAUCUCGGGCGACCAAUACACCCAUGUUUAGGGGAUCACAACAUGUGUUCCUUAAUUAUUCUUGCUCUGUACAUUACCCUGUUGUACAAUGUUGAAUUUGAUUCAUUUGCUUGUAA